rnacentral:siRNA from 1 species
UCCACCAUUUCACCAACCUGUA